UUUCCAGUCAGCCUCUGGCCUAAAAUCCAGCACUUAGCUGGAUUUAGGCCAAGCUUGACUGAAAA
rfam:Mesocricetus auratus contig191341, whole genome shotgun sequence.